CCAGACUCCUACGGGAGGCAGCAGUGGGGGAUAUUGCACAAUGGGGGGAACCCUGAUGCAGCGACGCCGCGUGGGCGAUGGAGUGCUUCGGCAUGUAAAGCCCUAUCAGCAGGGAAGAAAAUGACGGUGCCUGACUAAGAAGCCCCGGCUAAAUACGUGCCAGCAGCCGCGGUAAUACGUAGGGGGCAAGCGUUAUCCGGAAUCACUGGGUGUAAAGGGAGCGUAGACGGCUGUGCAAGCCUGAAGUGAAAGGCGGGGGCCCAACCCCUGGACUGCUUUGGGAACUGUACGGCUGGAGUGCAGGAGAGGUAAGUGGAAUUCCUAGUGUAGCGGUGAAAUGCGUAGAUAUUAGGAGGAACACCAGUGGCGAAAGCGGCUCUCUGGUCUGUAACUGACGCUGAGGUUCGAAAGCGUGGGUAGCAAACAGGAUUAGAUACCCGGGUAGA
rnacentral:rRNA from 1 species